rnacentral:rRNA from 1 species
UACGAAGGGGGCUAGCGUUGUUCGGAAUUACUGGGCGUAAAGCGCGCGUAGGCGGUGAUCUUUGUCAGAGGUGAAAGCCUGGGGCUCAACUCCAGAAUUGCCUUUGAAACGGGAUCGCUUGAGUCCGAGAGAGGAUGGCGGAAUUCCUAGUGUAGAGGUGAAAUUCGUAGAUAUUAGGAAGAACACCGGUGGCGAAGGCGGCCAUCUGGCUCGGUACUGACGCUCAGGCGCGAAAGCGUGAGGAGCAAACAGG